rnacentral:rRNA from 1 species
CUCAGGACGAACGCUGGCGGCGUGCCUAAUACAUGCAAGUCGAACGCUUCUUUCCUCCCGAGUGCUUGCACUCAAUUGGAAAGAGGAGUGGCGGACGGGUGAGUAACACGUGGGUAACCUACCCAUCAGAGGGGGAUAACACUUGGAAACAGGUGCUAAUACCGCAUAACAGUUUAUGCCGCAUGGCAUAAGAGUGAAAGGCGCUUUCGGGUGUCGCUGAUGGAUGGACCCGCGGUGCAUUAGCUAGUUGGUGAGGUAACGGCUCACCAAGGCCACGAUGCAUAGCCGACCUGAGAGGGUGAUCGGCCACACUGGGACUGAGACACGGCCCAGACUCCUACGGGAGGCAGCAGUAGGGAAUCUUCGGCAAUGGACGAAAGUCUGACCGAGCAACGCCGCGUGAGUGAAGAAGGUUUUCGGAUCGUAAAACUCUGUUGUUAGAGAAGAACAAGGACGUUAGUAACUGAACGUCCCCUGACGGUAUCUAACCAGAAAGCCACGGCUAACUACGUGCCAGCAGCCGCGGUAAUACGUAGGUGGCAAGCGUUGUCCGGAUUUAUUGGGCGUAAAGCGAGCGCAGGCGGUUUCUUAAGUCUGAUGUGAAAGCCCCCGGCUCAACCGGGGAGGGUCAUUGGAAACUGGGAGACUUGAGUGCAGAAGAGGAGAGUGGAAUUCCAUGUGUAGCGGUGAAAUGCGUAGAUAUAUGGAGGAACACCAGUGGCGAAGGCGGCUCUCUGGUCUGUAACUGACGCUGAGGCUCGAAAGCGUGGGGAGCAAACAGGAUUAGAUACCCUG